rnacentral:rRNA from 1 species
GAUGAACGCUGGCGGCGUGCCUAAUACAUGCAAGUCGAGCGAACAGAUGAGGAGCUUGCUCCUCUGACGUUAGCGGCGGACGGGUGAGUAACACGUGGAUAACCUACCUAUAAGACUGGGAUAACUUCGGGAAACCGGAGCUAAUACCGGAUAAUAUAUUGAACCGCAUGGUUCAAUAGUGAAAGACGGUUUUGCUGUCACUUAUAGAUGGAUCCGCGCCGCAUUAGCUAGUUGGUAAGGUAACGGCUUACCAAGGCGACGAUGCGUAGCCGACCUGAGAGGGGGAUCGGCCACACUGGAACUGAGACACGGUCCAGACUCCUACGGGAGGCAGCAGUAGGGAAUCGUCCGCAAUGGGCGAAAGCCUGACGGAGCAACGCCGCGUGAGUGAUGAAGGUCUUCGGAUCGUAAAACUCUGUUAUUAGUGAAGAACAAAUGUGUAAGUAACUAUGCACGUCUUGACGGUACCUAAUCAGAAAGCCACGGCUAACUACGUG